rnacentral:tRNA from 1 species
GGGGAUUUGGCUCAGUGGUAGAGCACUUGCCUAGCAAGUGCAAGGUCCUGGGUUCGGUCCCCAGCUCCA